rfam:Paenibacillus sp. FSL A5-0031 NODE_4_length_444515_cov_1.67923_ID_5125, whole genome shotgun sequence.
AAAAAGGCGAUGACGAGAAGAGUACAUAAACAAAUUCUUUCGCAGAGAGCCCCGGCAGCUGAAAAGGGGCAAGGAAUGGUUUAUCGAAACAAGUCUCUGAGCAUCACAUCGGAACCUGAACAAGGGGAUGCUGUGACAGGAGCUCCUGUUAUAGAGCUAGAGUAUAAGCAUCCUUUGGUGCCGUACUUGAAGAGGUUAAUAUGGCGACAUAUUAACGAAUCUGGGGUGGUACCGCGAAAAAUUUCGUCCCCAAG